AAGUCGAACGGUAACAGGAAGCAGCUUGCUGCUUUGCUGACGAGUGGCGGACGGGUGAGUAUGUCUGGGAAACUGCCUGAUGGAGGGGGAUAACUACUGGAAACGGUAGCUAAUACCGCAUAACGUCGCAAGACCAAAGAGGGGGACCUUAGGGCCUCUUGCCAUCGGAUGUGCCCAGAUGGGAUUAGCUAGUAGGUGGGGUAAAGGCUCACCUAGGCGACGAUCCCUAGCUGGUCUGAGAGGAUGACCAGCCACACUGGAACUGAGACACGGUCCAGACUCCUACGGGAGGCAGCAGUGGGGAAUAUUGCACAAUGGGCGCAAGCCUGAUGCAGCCAUGCCGCGUGUAUGAAGAAGGCCUUCGGGUUGUAAAGUACUUUCAGCGGGGAGGAAGGGAGUAAAGUUAAUACCUUUGCUCAUUGACGUUACCCGCAGAAGAAGCACCGGCUAACUCCGUGCCAGCAGCCGCGGUAAUACGGAGGGUGCAAGCGUUAAUCGGAAUUACUGGGCGUAAAGCGCACGCAGGCGGUUUGUUAAGUCAGAUGUGAAUCCCCGGGCUCAACCUGGGAACUGCAUCUGAUACUGGCAGGCUUGAGUCUCGUAGAGGGGGGUAGAAUUCCAGGUGUAGCGGUGAAAUGCGUAGAGAUCUGGAGGAAUACCGGUGGCGAAGGC
rnacentral:rRNA from 1 species